rnacentral:rRNA from 1 species
UACGUAGGGAGCAAGCGUUAUCCGGAUUUAUUGGGUGUAAAGGGUGCGUAGACGGGAAAUUAAGUUAGUUGUGAAAUCCCUCGGCUCAACUGAGGAAUUGCAACUAAAACUGGUUUUCUUGAGUGUUGGAGAGGAAAGUGGAAUUCCUAGUGUAGCGGUGAAAUGCGUAGAUAUUAGGAGGAACACCAGUGGCGAAGGCGACUUUCUGGACAGUAACUGACGUUGAGGCACGAAAGUGUGGGGAGCAAACAGG